GAAAUGCGAUAAGUAAUGUGAAUUGCAGAAUUCAGUGAAUCAUCGAAUCUUUGAACGCACAUUGCGCCCGCCAGUAUUCUGGCGGGCAUGCCUGUUCGAGCGUCAUUACAACCCUCAGGCCCCUGGGCCUGGCGUUGGGGAUCGGCGGAAGCCCCCUGCGGGCACAACGCCGUCCCCCAAAUACAGUGGCGGUCCCGCCGCAGCUUCCAUUGCGUAGUAGCUAACACCUCGCAACUGGAGAGCGGCGCGGCCACGCCGUAAAACACCCAACUUCUGAAUGUUGACCUCGAAUCAGGUAGGAAUACCCGCUGAACUUAAGC
rnacentral:misc_RNA from 1 species